rnacentral:rRNA from 1 species
UAAGACGGAGGAGGCUAGCGUUGUUCGGAAUUACUGGGCGUAAAGCGCGCGCAGGCGGUCUUGCAAGUCAGGGGUGAAAGCCCGGGGCUCAACCUCGGAACUGCCUUUGAGACUGUGAGACUCGAGACCGAGAGAGGAGAGUGGAAUUCCCAGUGUAGAGGUGAAAUUCGUAGAUAUUGGGAAGAACACCAGUGGCGAAGGCGGCUCUCUGGCUCGGUACUGACGCUGAGGCGCGAAAGCGUGGGGAGCAAACAGGAUUAGAUACCCUGGUAGUCCACGCUGUAAACGAUGGAUGCUAGACGUUGGGGGGCUUGCCCUUCGGUGUCGUAGCUAACGCGAUAAGCAUCCCGCCUGGGGAGUACGGCCGCAAGGUUA